GACGAACGCUGGCGGCAUGCCUAAUAUAUGCAAGUCGAGCGAACAGAUGAAGUGCUUGCACUUCUGACGUUAGCGGCGAACGGGUGAGUAACACGUAAGGAAUCUACCUAUAAGCGGGGGAUAACAUUCGGAAACGGGUGCUAAUACCGCAUAAUAUCUUCUUCCGCAUGGAAGAAGAUUGAAAGACGGCUCUGCUGUCACUUAUAGAUGACCUUGCGGUGUAUUAGUUAGUUGGUGGGGUAAUGGCCUACCAAGACGAUGAUGCAUAGCCGACCUGAGAGGGGGAUCGGCCACAUUAGGACUGAGACACGGCCCAAACUCCUACGGGAGGCAGCAGUAGGGAAUCUUCCGCAAUGGGCGAAAGCCUGACGGAGCAAUGCCGCGUGAGUGAAGAAGGCCUUCGGGUCGUAAAACUCUGUUAUAAGAGAAGAACAAAUUGUAGAGUAACUGCUACAGUCUUGACGGUAUCUUAUCAGAAAGCCACGGCUAACUACGUGCCAGCCGCCGCCGUAA
rnacentral:rRNA from 1 species